GCUAAUCCAGGCUGCGGGGCUCACUCUGAAGCCUGAUAAGUGUCCUGUCGGUAUGGCCGAGGUACAGUAUCUUGGUCAUAGGGUAGUGUGACGAACUGGACCUUGUCACGGGUUCUUGGAGGGGCAUACUUGCCAGCCUCUUGCCCUGUGACUAUGGCCCCUGUGUUAAAUCCUGGUUAAAACCACUGUGUGUGCCUUUUUGUACUUGUAUGGCCACAACUCGAACUUUUGAAGCGGCACUUCGAACUCCAGAAGCCAUUUGAAGUGCCAUUCGACCACUAGGUGGCAGCCAUCUUGUUCACAUGGACCAAAACCGCGAAUAGACUUUGUGGGGUCUACGGUGCUUGUGGUGUCCGGUGAGUCCUCAGUGUCAGCUAGGAAGCAUCGAUUGGUGGAGGUACCCAGUCAGAGUGCCAGGCGGUCCGUCACAGUUAGUUUUUGGCAAACAGCGACCUGAACCUGCCAAGGUAGAAGCUAUUGCUGACUAGCCACAACCCCAUACCAAGACACAGGUACUAGCGCUCCUAGUAACAGCGGGCUCCUACCGCAAGUUUUUCCCCGAG